rnacentral:rRNA from 1 species
UACGUAGGGUCCGAGCGUUGUCCGGAAUUACUGGGCGUAAAGGGCUCGUAGGCGGCCAACUAAGUCAGACGUGAAAUCCCCCGGCUUAACCUGGGAACUGCGUCUGAUACUGGGAGGCUAGAGUAUGGGAGAGGGAUGUGGAAUUCCAGGUGUAGCGGUGAAAUGCGUAGAUAUCUGGAGGAACACCGGUGGCGAAGGCGGCAUCCUGGACCAUAACUGACGCUGAUCCGCGAAAGCUAGGGGAGCAAACGGG